rnacentral:rRNA from 1 species
UGUACACGCUGUGACUAGCAUAUCAAUAAGCGGAGGAAAAGAAACUAACAAGGAUUCCCCUAGUAACGGCGAGUGAAGCGGGAAGAGCUCAAAUUUGAAAUCUUAAAGGGUUUCCCUUUACGAAUUGUAGUUUAAAGAAGUGUUUUCCUGUUGAGGUUUUGGUAAAAGUUCUUUGGAAUAGGACAUCAUAGAGGGUGAGAAUCCCGUAUUUGACCUUUACUUUCAACUUUGUGAUACACUUUCAAAGAGUCGGAUUGUUUGGGAAUGCAGUCCAAAAUGGGUGGUAAAUUUCAUCUAAAGCUAAAUAUUGGCGAGAGACCGAUAGCGAGCAAGUACCGUGAGGGAAAGAUGAAAAGAACUUUGAAAAGAGAGUUAAACAGUACGUGAAAUUGUCAAAAGGGAAGCGUUUGACACCAGUGUUGUUUUUCUGAAAAUCAAUUAAAGAACUGUUUAUGCUAAGCUGUUUAGACUUUAUCAGCUAUCUGCUUAGUUUUGAGCUUUUCUUUAAUGCACUUUUCAGUUAACAAGUCAACAUCAAUUUCUUUUGCUGUAAAAAAGCUUGAGGAAGGUGGCUUGAGAUUCGUCUUAAGUGUUUAUAGCCUCUUGCCUAUGCAGUCGGAGAGAUUGAGGUCUGCAGCGUAGAUCCUUCGGGGCUAAAUGCAUUUGUGCUAAGUUAUAGCACUUCAUAGACAACUUGUUGACUAUGAUUUGUCUUGUAGCUUACUCGCUUAUGUUAUUUUACCUACGCUUAGGAUGUUGACGCGCGUGUGUGCGUG